GCCUACUUAAUCGCAAUCCAAUAAUUUCUCUCUGUCUCAUCGUGUAGACUCAGGUUGGAGCACUGGCUUGUUCUGGCUGAUUCACGGUGCUCUGGCUUCUUGGAGUACUACCCUUGCCUCUAUCUUUGCCUCUUCUAACUGCUGAUGAACCCCUCGGUGUAGAGGCUUGGGCUGAUCCCUCUAAAGUAGCAGAUGGUCCAAAGCGGUGUGCACUUGUAUAAUCUUUAACAAAGUGAUCGAUCCCUUCAUAGUUAAAGCAUGCGCCUGUGGCUUUAUAACAUACCCCACCGUGUGUUCUGUCGUACAUCUCACAUAGACAGAUCGAUAGUGUACCUCAGGGUGUCUGUUGUGUCUGCUGACUAGAUCAGGGUGGUCUUUAGCCAGAAAAUCUACCCCUAUUGGAUUUACGGGAGCUGGAUCCUCCAGAAUUCUUACUUUUCCCUUAACCACUUUCAAGUGCUUGACCAGUAGCUUUUUCAGUCUUUUCUUUCUCUCGUGUACCCUUCUUAACGACCCCUUUUAAUUUUAUCCUUUCUAGUUUCAGAGCUUGUGAGAUUAAUUUAGAGAAAUUCUGAUGUUGGAAGCCUAUAAUUUGCAUUCUCAGAUUUGGCCUUAACCUGGCCUCAAACCGCUUACACUUAUCUCUAGGGGUGGAAACUAGGCUAUAGCAUAGUGGCUCAGUCGAGAAAAGUCUUUCUCAUACUUUGCUAUGGUUUUGUCCCUUUGUUUCAAACUUAGGAAUUCUUAUAACUUCAUAUUCACACAAGUAUUAGGGACUUACUUUUGUCGAAACUCCCUCAAGAAGUCUGACCAGGUAAGGACUGGAGGUUCUAUCAAAUUGUGGGGGAUGAUUUUUCACCAUUCAUAGGCAUUCCCUUACAAUAGAGAAACAAAGUAUUCAAACUUCAGCUCUUCUGCACAUUGUAGUUUCCUGAAUACCCAUUUCAUCCUUUCUAACUAUUGUUCUGCUUCUAGUGGAUCCACGAUUCCCUUGAAUUCUAUAGCCCCAACUUUCAUUAGCUUUUCAUAUUACUGUGUUGGGGGCUAUGAUUGUGUUGUAAGUGUUGGAGUAGGUACAUUGCUAGCCAUUUGUUAGAAUAAUGCAACUAUUUGUUGACUCACUUACAUUCUG
rnacentral:misc_RNA from 1 species